UCCAUUUUCGGUUCAUUCCCUCUCUAAGUGUAGUCAUGGUGAGUGGUGCGGUGACGCUUUUGGUUAUAUUGAGUUGCUUUGUCGCUGAUGGGUCGGAAGGCUCACAUUAUCGUCAAGGCUCAUACACAGAUUCUCUGACGAGGCUAAAGGGUUUUGGGUGUCGAGGAAUGGGGCUGUGUCGGGUGAUUUGUGGCCUAAAAGGGGGGGUGCUUGGAGUACAUAGAGAUGCUUAUUCUUAACGAUUUGAAGCGCCGUAGGAGGAAGCUCGGCUCCCAGACUCAGGUGCUGUUUCCCUCCGAAGGAAGCCGGACUUUCUCCUCGGGAAUGAGUUUGAUUGGUUACAUUUCACGUGGAUUGGUAUUGGGACACCGAAUCUGUCUUUUCUUGUUGCAUUGGCUACCGCAGCGAUCUUCUUUGGGUCCCUUGUGAUUGCAUGCAAUGCGCUUCUUUGUCUGCUAGUUAUUAUAAUGCGUUCGUAUGCAAGACUUUGCUAUACUAUUGUGUUCUUUUGCUAUUUUCUGUUCAUUGCGUCUCUAUUUCAUAUUAUGUCAUAUUUGAGUACUUUACUUUAACUUAGCUGCUCUAUUAGUUCUGCUUCUUUAUAUGAAAUUUUUUUGGGGCGGCUGAAGUCACUCGCUUACAUUUCAUGGGGCUUACGAUUGAAGGAAAUUCCUAUAAUUCCUUGAUUGGAACUUCUAUUGUUCGGUUUGGCACUUUAGCCAAUUAGCUUCGCAUUGGAAUCAUGUAUUGAAAAAUGAAAAUAUGUACCUUUUCCUCUCAAAUAGUGCUGCCGCUUCUUGUUUUUGGUUCAACAUUGCUGCUGUCUUGCACAAUUUGCUGAAUAUACGUCGACUUAUUUUCUCCUCAUGAUUAAUGUGCCCAAAAGCCACUAUUCUUCAAAAGUGCUACCUUUUGAUAUACACAUACAUAUAUAGUUUCUUUAUAUGAACCACUCUGUUUAGUAUCUAUUAGUUUCUCCACUUUGCACACAGCUGAAGACAAGUCAAAGCCCCUAGCGGAAUUACUUCAAUUGACUCUUGGAGUGUUUAGCUUGGAGUUACAUAGAGGUGUAGCGUUUAAUUCCAAUUAUUGAUUGACGGAUGCUUCUUCACAUUUUUGGCAUCUAUUUUGCAGGAUAGAGACUCGAACAAAGUCUCUCUCUGAAAUGUAACCUGUAGAAAAUUUUAUGACGGCUAUCUCAUCAUUUUUGAUAGGGAAUUUGAAGCUGGGAUGGUCUACUUCCAACUGUGAGUAUAAUUAUUUUCUUCUCUCUAUCAUAACAUUAUUCUGUACCUUAUAUGCGUUGCAGACUAUAUUUUUCUGAAUCUGUUGAAGUGUUGAUUUAUUAUACUCAUCUUUUGUGGUUAACCAUAAUUGUGAAGAAUAAUUAUAGAUUUGAAAAUAGAUUCAUUUGUUAGGAAUAGCUUCAUUAGAACAAAUAUUCUGUUGUUCUUCUGCACUCCCCAAAUGUGCGCUCGCUGCAUGCAUUUUAAUGAUGAUUACUUGGUGUCUUUCUUAAAGUUUAUGUAUUUGAUUUGUCUUUGUUGUAUUUGAAUUAUUGCGGCCUUGAUGAACAGUAACAUACUUAUUUUUUCUGUUUACCUUAACUUUUAGUCUCUAGCUGUUGUUUGCAUCUUCUCAGGCUUCCCUCUAAGUUGAGCUGCGUACUUAUUUCCCUUCUUGGUGAUUGAUAGCAAUCCUUCUUGAAUCCCAUUGUUUU